CAAAUGGAAAUGUCUCUUUUUAAAACUUGUUUUAUUAGUUUUAAUCUUUUAACUUUAUGCAUCAAGCAAAAAUUAAAUUAUAUGCAACAUUCUCUGACUGGAAGAAAUUUGUUUAACAUUUAAACCUAUUUUCUGCACAUUCCAGCACAUAAAAUAAAAUAUUUUUUUGUGUUUACACUCACUCUUUCAAAUAGAUGCAAGUAAAACACAGCAGAAAAUAAAUAAAGUCAAAGGCUAGUUGCUCUAUUUUCACCUGUAAAGCAGGACUGGGGUAGGCGGAGGUUUACCCUGGUGCAGGUGUGCCGCAGCGGUCAGUUGAAGACUCCGCGAGUUUCUCUGUGAAUUUCCCAUUACAGUCGUAGCGCACUCGGCGCUUGCUUGGAAGUUUAGGGGGUUUUUUUCGCUGUAAAAAGAAGUUUUCUUCACUCACAACAGACGCUAAUGUUUUUGUCACUUUUUAUGGAAUCAAACUCAAAAUAAGGGCGGCCGUGUCUCUGGGGAGCGUAAUCACUGGAUGGUAAAUCUUUAGAGAGAAGCAACUGCAUUUCCUUGAGCCUUGCCAUCUUCCUCUGACCUCUGAUUGUCAUGGACUGUGGGAGUGUCCGGGGUUUUUCCACCUGUAGGCUGCCGGUCUCCUCUCUGCCUGUUUGGGGUGGAGCUUCUUAUGUCUCACCUGGGCCUCAUCUACAAGCAUUCAGCAGGAGGAAUUCUUAAACCAGAGCAACCAGCCAAUCCUCGCCUGUUUAUUAUGUGCCUUCUGGUGAGGGUGUCGAUUCCCGCAAAUUUGACUCACCUGGAGUGAACUUUAAUUCCUCAGCUCUGGAAAUAUCUGACUGCUUUCCCUGCCUGUUUGUCUGCUCUCCAGCCUGCUACUGCACCCUGGAUACUCUGGCUGCUGAACUGCCUCUGGAUACUCCUACAGACUUCCCCUCCUCAACCCUUCCUCGUUCGUCGCUGCAACCCCCCGUAAUUCUGUCCCUGGAGCCCCCUUUCCAAUACCAGUUGCCAUCUUGUCCCCGCAACUAUACCUAGCCCAGGUCCCCUC
ensembl:lncRNA